rnacentral:rRNA from 1 species
UCUAAGSCAUGCAAGUCAUUGUAGCAAUACAAAGGCAGACGGCUCAGUAACGCGUAGUCAAUCUACCCUAUGGACGGGAAUAACCUCGGGAAACUGAGAAUAAUGCCCGAUAGAACAUUAUGCCUGGAAUGGUUUAUGUUUCAAAUGAUUUAUCGCCAUAGGAUGGGACUGCGGCCUAUCAGUUUGUUGGUGAGGUAAUGGCCCACCAAGACUAUUACAGGUACGGGCUCUGAGAGGAGUAGCCCGGAGAUGGGUACUGAGACACGGACCCAGGCCCUAUGGGGCGCAGCAGGCGAGAAAACUUUGCAAUGUGCGAAAGCACGACAAGGUUAAUCCGAGUGGUUUCUGCUAAAGAAACCUUUUGUCAGUCCUAGAAACACUAACGAAUAAGGGGUGGGCAAGUUCUGGUGUCAGCCGCCGCGGUAAAACCAGCACCUCAAGUGGUCAGGAUGAUUAUUGGGCCUAAAGCAUCCGUAGCUCGUUUUGUAAGUUUUCGGUUAAAUCCAUGCGCUUAACGUAUGGGCUGCCGGGAAUACUGCAUAACUAGGAAGUGGGAGAGGUAGACGGUACUCGGUAGGAAGGGGUAAAAUCCUUUGAUCUAUUGAUGACCACCUGUGGCGAAGGCGGUCUACCAGAACACGUUCGACGGUGAGGGAUGAAAGCUGGGGGGAGCAAACCGGGAUUAGAUACCCGGGUAGUCCCAGCUGUAAACUAUGCAAACUCAGUGAUGCAUUGGCUUGUGGCCAAUGCAGUGCUGCAGGGAAGCCGUUAAGUUUGCCGCCUGGGAAGUACGUACGCAAGUAUGAAACUUAAAGGAAUUGGCGGGGGAGCACCACAAGGGGUGAAGCCUGCGGUUCAAUUGGAGUCAACGCCAGAAAUCUUACCCGGAGAGACAGCAGAAUGAAGGUCAAGGCUGAAGACUUUACCAGACAAGCUGAGAGRAGGUGCAUGGCCC